GACGAACGCUGGCGGCGUGCUUAACACAUGCAAGUCGAACGGAAAGGCCCUGCUUUUGUGGGGUGCUCGAGUGGCGAACGGGUGAGUAACACGUGAGUAACCUGCCCUUGACUUUGGGAUAACUUCAGGAAACUGGGGCUAAUACCGGAUAGGAGCUCCUGCUGCAUGGUGGGGGUUGGAAAGUUUCGGCGGUUGGGGAUGGACUCGCGGCUUAUCAGCUUGUUGGUGGGGUAGUGGCUUACCAAGGCUUUGACGGGUAGCCGGCCUGAGAGGGUGACCGGCCACAUUGGGACUGAGAUACGGCCCAGACUCCUACGGGAGGCAGCAGUGGGGAAUAUUGCACAAUGGGCGGAAGCCUGAUGCAGCAACGCCGCGUGCGGGAUGACGGCCUUCGGGUUGUAAACCGCUUUCGCCUGUGACGAAGCGUGAGUGACGGUAAUGGGUAAAGAAGCACCGGCUAACUACGUGCCAGCAGCCGCGGUGAUACGUAAGGUGCGAGCGUUGUCCGGAUUUAUUGGGCGUAAAGGGCUCGUAGGUGGUUGAUCGCGUCGGAAGUGUAAUCUUGGGGCUUAACCCUGAGCGUGCUUUCGAUACGGGUUGACUUGAGGAAGGUAGGGGAGAAUGGAAUUCCUGGUGGAGCGGUGGAAUGCGCAGAUAUCAGGAGGAACACCAGUGGCGAAGGCGGUUCUCUGGGCCUUUCCUGACGCUGAGGAGCGAAAGCGUGGGGAGCGAACAGGCUUAGAUACCCUGGUAGUCCACGCUGUAAACGGUGGGUACUAGGUGUGGGGUCCAUUCCACGGGUUCCGUGCCGUAGCUAACGCUUUAAGUACCCCGCCUGGGGAGUACGGCCGCAAGGCUAAAACUCAAAGGAAUUGACGGGGCCCCGCACAAGCGGCGGAGCAUGCGGAUUAAUUCGAUGCAACGCGUAGAACCUUACCUGGGUUUGACAUGGAUCGGGAGCGCUCAGAGAUGGGUGUGCCUCUUUUGGGGUCGGUUCACAGGUGGUGCAUGGCUGUCGUCAGCUCGUGUCGUGAGAUGUUGGGUUAAGUCCCGCAACGAGCGCAACCCUUGUUCACUGUUGCCAGCACGUUAUGGUGGGGACUCAGUGGAGACCGCCGGGGUCAACUCGGAGGAAGGUGGGGAUGACGUCAAGUCAUCAUGCCCCUUAUGUCCAGGGCUUCACGCAUGCUACAAUGGCUGGUACAGAGAGUGGCGAGCCUGUGAGGGUGAGCGAAUCUCGGAAAGCCGGUCUCAGUUCGGAUUGGGGUCUGCAACUCGACCUCAUGAAGUCGGAGUCGCUAGUAAUCGCAGAUCAGCAACGCUGCGGUGAGUACGUUCCCGGGGCU
rnacentral:rRNA from 1 species